AUUGAACGCUGGCGGCAGGCCUAACACAUGCAAGUCGAGCGGAUGAAGGGAGCUUGCUCCUGGAUUCAGCGGCGGACGGGUGAGUAAUGCCUAGGAAUCUGCCUGGUAGUGGGGGAUAACGUCCGGAAACGGGCGCUAAUACCGCAUACGUCCUGAGGGAGAAAGUGGGGGAUCUUCGGACCUCACGCUAUCAGAUGAGCCUAGGUCGGAUUAGCUAGUUGGUGGGGUAAAGGCCUACCAAGGCGACGAUCCGUAACUGGUCUGAGAGGAUGAUCAGUCACACUGGAACUGAGACACGGUCCAGACUCCUACGAGAGGCAGCAGUGGGGAAUAUUGGACAAUGGGCGAAAGCCUGAUCCAGCCAUGCCGCGUGUGUGAAGAAGGUCUUCGGGUUGUAAAGCACUUUAAGUUGGGAGGAAGGGCAGUAAGUUAAUACCUUGCUGUUUUGACGUUACCAACAGAAUAAGCACCGGCUAACUUCGUG
rnacentral:rRNA from 1 species